rnacentral:rRNA from 1 species
GAACGUCGUGAGACAGUUCGGUCCCUAUCUGCCGUGGGCGUUGGAAGAUUGAGAGGGGUUGCUCCUAGUACGAGAGGACCGGAGUGAACGCACCACUGGUGUUCGGGUUGUCAUGCCAAUGGCAUUGCCCGGUAGCUAAGUGCGGAAAAGAUAAGCGCUGAAAGCAUCUAAGCGCGAAACUUGCCUCAAGAUGAGUCUUCCCUGGACCUUUAAGGUCCCUGAAGGAACGUUUAAGACUAAGACGUUGAUAGGCUGGGUGUGUAAGUGCAGCGAUGCAUUGAGCUAACCAGUACUAAUGAUCCGUGAGGCUUAACCUUACAACACCGAAGGUGUUU